UACAGUUAGUGAAGGCUGGUUGCAGGCAGUGCCGUUGGUUGCUGGUUGAUUACAGUUAGUUAGUGAAGGCUGGUUGCAGGCAGUGCCGUUGGUUGGUUGGUUGAUUACAGUUAGUGAAGGCUGGUUGCAGGCAGUGCCGUUGGUUGCUGGUUGAUUACAGUUAGUUAGUGAAGGCUGGUUGCAGGCAGUACCGUUGGUUGCUGGUUGGUUGCAGUUAGUUAGUGAAGGCUGGUUGCAGGCAGUGCCGUUGGUUGGUUGGUUGAUUACAGUUAGUUAGUGAAGGCUGGUUGCAGGCAGUACCGUUGGUUGCUGGUUGAUUACAGUUAGUUAGUGAAGGCUGGUUGCAGGCAGUACCGUUGGUUGCUGGUUGAUUACAGUUAGUUAGUGAAGGCUGGUUGCAGGCAGUGCCGUUGGUUGGUUGGUUGAUUACAGCUAGUUAGUGAAGGCUGGUUGCAGGCAGUGCCGUUGGUUGGUUGGUUGAUUACAGGUAGUUAGGGAAGGCUGGUUGCAGGCAGUGCCGUUGGUUGCUGGUUGAUUGCAGUUAGUUAGUGAAGGCUGGUUGCAGGCAGUGCCGUUGGUUGGUUGAUUACAGUUAAGUUAGUGAAGGCUGGUUGCAGGCAGUACCGUUAGUUGCUGGUUGAUUGCAGUUAGUUAGUGAAGGCUGGUUGCAGGCAGUGCCGUUGGUUGGUUGGUUGAUUACAGUUAGUUAGUGAAGGCUGGUUGCAGGCAGUACCGUUGGUUGGUUGGUUGAUUACAGUUAGUUAGUGAAGGCUGGUUGCAGGCAGUACCGUUAGUUGCUGGUUGAUUGCAGUUAGUUAGUGAAGGCUGGUUGCAGGCAGUGCCGUUGGUUGGUUGGUUGAUUACAGUUAGUUAGUGAAGGCUGGUUGCAGGCAGUACCGUUGGUUGCUGGUUGAUUACAGUUAGUUAGUGAAGGCUGGUUGCAGGCAGUGCCGUUGGUUGGUUGGUUGAUUACAGCUAGUUAGUGAAGGCUGGUUGCAGGCAGUGCCGUUGGUUGGUUGGUUGAUUACAGGUAGUUAGGGAAGGCUGGUUGCAGGCAGUGCCGUUGGUUGCUGGUUGAUUGCAGUUAGUUAGUGAAGGCUGGUUGCAGGCAGUGCCGUUGGUUGGUUGAUUACAGUUAAUUAGUGAAGGCUGGUUGCAGGCAGUGCCUGCCGUUGGUUGGUUGGUUGAUUACAGGUAGUUAGGGAAGGCUGGUUGCUGGCAGUGCCAUUUGUUGGUAGAGGCAAGAGGACAGCGCUGAGAGUGAGGAGAGUGGCCCCUGCUCUAGGGCCAUGUUUUCCUUUUGCUUCCUCUUCCUUUGGUAACAAAUAAAUAUAAUAAUUGCCAGCAAUUUGGGCAGGAGGGGCUAUUGGGAAAUGGCAAUUUUAAAUGUUAUUUCCUUUCUAACACUAGAUUUAAGAUAUAACAAAGUUGCUGGGCUUGGGGGGACUAUUCCUGAUACUGAUUGGAAGAGAGUCACAGGUACGCUCAAGCUGAGGCUGACUGGGCAUGCAGGGCCCUCCUGCGUCCUGGCUAGAAGGGACACAGCCAGGUUUUCUCUCAUGUCGAAGUAUCGAAGUAUCGCACAGUUUUCCUUGUUAGGAAACAGUUUGCAAGAUGGAGAAAGUCACUUCCCUAUAGAUUCCACAUUCCACAUUUACAAAUGGAAGUAAUUUGUCAUAAUGUUUCAUUUUAAAGAUCAUCCCGUGGAAGAUGGAAGAGAAGACGCACCACUAUACAAAUAACCCUGCUAUUUCAUGGCUAAGAGAAAAACUGGCUGUUGAAAAUCAACAACUGAACUUGUGAACAGUGGGAUGAUUUAAACUUGUAUAAGAAAGUAAAAAUGGGUACUGCUGCUGCUCUUCCUAAGUCCUUCCCCCACCAUUGUGGACUCACUUUAACCUUUAGAAAUCAUUAGUGUACAGUUUCAUUUUUAAUUGACAAGUAAAAGUUGUAUAUACUUACAAGGUACAACAUGGUGUUUCAACAUACGUCAGCGUUGUAGAAGGUCAAACUGAUAACGCGUCUCCAUUUUUUAAACAGAUCAGUUGUUGUAUAAUAUAGUUUUUAGCAUGUACCCUGGUCUAUGUAGUUAAAAUAUACUUGAUGCAAAAGUUUCCUGAUCAGAAAUAAUGAAAUGUACAUGUUUUUGUGGGCAAAUUAAUUCUUUGUUUAAAAUCAAGUGACCAGGUUUGCUCUGAACACAUGAUAUUGCUGGAACAAGAAUGUGAAUUAAAGCACUUCCCCUCGCCCCCCACCCCCAGUUUUUGGCCAGAGUUGGGUUUGAACCCACCACCUCCGGUGUAUGGGGCCAGCACCCUAUUCCUUGAGCCACAGGCAGCGCCCUAAAGCACAUUUUUAAAAACAUUUAAAAUAUAUUAAAAAGUGAUAUGUUCCAUUGACAGAAUAUUGAGUUAUUUUUGUCUACUUUUCAUGCUG